rnacentral:rRNA from 1 species
GACGAACGCUGGCGGCGUGCUUAACACAUGCAAGUCGAACGGUGAAGGGGAGCUUGCUCCCCGGAUCAGUGGCGAACGGGUGAGUAACACGUGGGCAACCUGCCCCAGACUUCGGGAUAACGCUUCGAAAGGAGUGCUAAUACCGGAUACGAACUCCUUGGGCAUCCUUGGGGUUGGAAAGUUUUUCGGUCUGGGAUGGGCCCGCGGCCUAUCAGCUUGUUGGUGAGGUAACGGCUCACCAAGGCGACGACGGGUAGCCGGCCUGAGAGGGCGACCGGCCACACUGGGACUGAGACACGGCCCAGACUCCUACGGGAGGCAGCAGUGGGGAAUAUUGCGCAAUGGGCGAAAGCCUGACGCAGCAACGCCGCGUGAGGGAUGACGGCCUUCGGGUUGUAAACCUCUUUCAGCAGGGAAGAAGCGAAAGCGACGGUACCUGCAGAAGAAGCACCGGCUAACUACGUGCCAGCCGCCGCGGUAA